GAGUAAAAGAUUACAAAAGAUACAAAAGCAGACAAUUUUUAUUUCCUACAGAACAGAACAAUAUCAUAUAGCCAACUCCAUCCCUAACAAUGGUCUUUGCUGUUGGCAUUUGCUUAACCAGUCUUUAGUUCCUGUUUGGCAAACUUUAUAAGGUGCUACACGGCAGAUGAUUUUUCACCAUCUACCAUAAUGUGGAUGAACAAACAAUUUGUAUUUUAUCUUCUGCUUUUGUCAGCUUUUAUGAGCAAGACGAUAUAUGGACAAAGAAAGAAAGGAUCAAAGUCCAAUUUACUUGCAAGAAGAAAUCAUCUCCAGGAUUCCACUUGCUUCAUAGAUCUUAUUUUCAUCGUGGACAGCUCUGAAAGUUCUAAAAUUUUUCUCUUUGACAAACAGAAAGAUUUUGUGGAUAGCUUGAGUGAUAAGCUUUUCCAAUUGACCCCAGUUGGCUCCUUGAAAUAUGACAUCAAACUGGCAGCCCUUCAGUUUAGCAGCUCUGUCCAAAUUGAUCCACCUUUCUCCUCGUGGAAGGAUCUACACACUUUUAAACAGAGGGUGAAGUCUAUGAAUUUCAUUGGGCAAGGUACUUUCUCUUACUAUGCCAUUGCCAAUGCCACGAGGCUCCUUAAGAGAGAAGGGCGUAAAGACAGUGUGAAAGUGGCUUUGCUGAUGACUGAUGGCAUUGACCAUCCGAAGAAUCCAGAUGUUCAGAGUAUUUCUGAAGAUGCCCGAAAUGCAGGAAUAAUAUUUAUCACCAUUGGACUUUCUACUGUGGUCAAUGAAACCAAGCUUCAUUUGAUAUCUGGGAAUUCACCUGGUGAACCUAUUCUACUGUUGAAUGAUUCAACCCUGGUAGAUAAAAUUCAGAAUCGCCUGGAUACCUUAUUUGAAAAGAAGUGUGAACGCAAGAUUUGUGAAUGUGAGAAGGGGGAUCCAGGCGAUCCAGGGCCUCCUGGUACACAUGGAAACCCAGGUAUCAAAGGUGAGCGAGGACCAAAAGGAAACCCGGGUGAUGCUCAAAAAGGGGAACCUGGAGAAAGAGGCCCAGGGGGAAUCCCUGGGUACAAGGGUGAGAAGGGUGAACUCGGAGAAUGUGGCAAACCAGGAGUUAAAGGUGACAAAGGAUCUCCAGGGCCAUAUGGACCAAAGGGUCCCAGAGGACUUCAGGGCGUUACUGGACCUCCAGGGGAUCCAGGCCCAAGGGGGUUUCAAGGCAACAAGGGGGAGCCUGGUCCUCCUGGUCCUUAUGGUCCUCCAGGAGCCCCUGGUAUUGGUCAGCAAGGUAUUAAGGGGGAAAGAGGCCAGGAAGGAAGAACAGGGGCUCCAGGACCGAUUGGUGUUGGUGAGCCAGGCCAGACAGGUCCCCGUGGUCCUGAGGGAGCACCAGGAGAGAGGGGCUUACCAGGAGAAGGAUUUCCAGGGCCAAAGGGUGAAAAAGGUUCUGAAGGACCAGUUGGCCCACAAGGAUUACAAGGCCCAUCAAUCAAAGGGGACAAGGGGGAUCUGGGACCUGUAGGACCCCAAGGACCAAUGGGCAUCCCUGGAAUUGGCAGUCAAGGGGAACAGGGAAUCCAAGGUCCUAUUGGUCCACCUGGUCCACAAGGGCCCCCAGGACAAGGCUUACCUGGUCCCAAGGGAGAAGUAGGCCAGAUAGGACCUACAGGUCCUAGAGGACCAGUGGGAGUUGGAGUACAAGGUCCAAAGGGGGAGCCAGGCUCAACAGGACUCCCAGGACAGCCAGGAGUACCAGGAGAAGAUGGAGCAGCAGGCAAGAAGGGAGAAGCAGGGCUUCCAGGAGCAAGAGGCCCUGAAGGACCACCUGGAAAAGGACAACCUGGUCUCAAGGGGGAUGAAGGAAAGAAAGGGAGCAAAGGAAAUCAAGGACAGAGGGGAUUUCCUGGGCCAGAAGGACCGAAGGGUGAUCCAGGAAUUAUGGGCCCUUUUGGAAUGCCUGGAGCAUCAAUUCCUGGACCACCUGGGCCAAAGGGAGAUAGAGGAGGACCUGGGAUGCCUGGAUUGAAAGGAGAACCUGGAAUUGCUAUCCGAGGACCAAAGGGUGCCCAAGGCCCUCAGGGACCAGUGGGUGCUCCAGGACUCAAAGGCGACGGCUAUCCUGGUGUGGCUGGCCCACGAGGAUUACCAGGACCUCCUGGACCAAUGGGUUUACGUGGAGUUGGAGACACUGGAGCCAAGGGAGAGCCUGGUGUCAGAGGCCUUCCAGGCCCUUCUGGGCCUCGGGGUAUAGGAAUUCAAGGGCCAAAGGGUGAUACUGGGCAGAAAGGCUUGCCUGGCCCUCCUGGCCCCCCUGGCUAUGGAUUACAAGGAAUCAAAGGGGAGCAAGGACCUCGAGGCUUUCCAGGGUCAAAGGGCAUGACAGGCCUUGGCCUCCCUGGCCAGAAGGGAGAGCAUGGAGAACGGGGCGAUGUGGGAAAGAAAGGUGAUAAAGGGGAAAUUGGAGAUCCCGGAUCUCAAGGAAAACAGGGGUUGCAAGGACCAAAAGGAGACCAAGGGCUUACAAAAGAAGAAAUCAUCAAACUUAUUUUUGAAAUAUGUGGUUGUGGGCGUAAAUGCAAAGAGACUCCGCUAGAGCUACUCUUUGUGAUUGACAGCUCAGAAAGCGUGGGGCUGGAGAAUUUCCAGAUCAUCAAAAACUUCGUGAAGACUCUGACAGACGGGGUUGCUCUGGACCUUGCCACGGCCCGCAUAGGCAUCAUCAACUACAGCCAUAAGGUGGAGGAGGUGGCUCAUCUGACACAGUUCUCCAGCAAGGACGCCCUCAAGCGGGCGGUGGACAACAUGCAGUAUCUGGGGGAAGGCACCUACACGGCCACAGCUCUCCACGCCGCCAACCGCAUGUUUGAAGCCUCCAGGCCGGAGGUGAAGAAGGUGGCCUUGGUCAUCACAGAUGGGCAGACAGAUACCCGGGAUGAAAAGAAUCUGACAGAUGUGGUGAAGAACGCCAGUGAUAUCAAUGUGGAAAUAUUUGUGAUUGGCGUGGUGAAGAAAAAUGACCCCAACUUCGAGAUGUUCCACAAAGAAAUGAAUCUAAUUGCUACCGACCCAGAUAGUGAGCACGUUUAUCAGUUUGAUGACUUCAUUACUCUUCAAGAUACCCUGAAGCAAAAAUUAUUUAAAAAAAGUUGUGAGGAUUUUGAAUCCUACCUCUUCCAAGUUUUGGGUUCACCACUGCUUGAACCUAGAUUUGGGCUAUCAGGGGAAGAACUCAGUGAAUCCACUCCAGAGCCCCGGAAAGAAAUUUCUGAGUAUGUAAGUAACUCUCUUGCUUAA
rnacentral:lncRNA from 1 species